UUUUCCUGUAAAUACGGCGGUGAAGUUAGUUUCAGGUUGGAUAUAUUUUCCUGUAAAUACGGCGGUGAAGUUAGUUUUAGGUUGGAUAUAUUUUCCUGUAAAUACGGCGGUGAAGUUAGUUUCAGGUUGGAUAUAUUUGCCUGUAAAUACGGCGGUGAAGUUAGUUUCAGGUUGGAUAUAUUUUCCUGUAAAUACGGCGGUGAAGUUAGUUUUAGGUUGGAUAUAUUUUCCUGUAAAUACAGCGGUGAAGUUAGUUUCAGGUUGGAUAUAUUUUCCUGUAAAUACCGCGGUGAAGUUAGUUUUAGGUUGGAUAUAUUCUCCUGUAAAUACGGCGUUGAAGUUAGUUUCAGGUUGGAUAUAUUUUCCUGUAAAUACGGCGGUGAAGUUAGUUUCAGGUUGGAUAUAUUUCCUGUAAAUACGGCGGUGAAGUUAGUUUUAGGUUGGAUAUUUUUUUUCCUGUAAAUACGGUGGUGAAGUUAGUUUCAGGUUGGAUAUAUUUUCCUGUAAAUACGGCGGUGAAGUUAGUUUUAGGUUGGAUAUAUUUUCCUGUAAAUACGGCGGUGAAGUUAGUUUCAGGUUGGAUAUAUUUUCCUGUAAAUACGGCGGUGAAGUUAGUUUCAGGUUGGAUAUAUUUUCCUGUAAAUACGGCGGUGAAGUUAGUUUCAGGUUGGAUAUAUUUUCCUGUAAAUACGGCGGUGAAGUUAGUUUUAGGUUGGAUAUUUUUUUUCCUGUAAAUACAGCGGUGAAGUUAGUUUUAGGUUGGAUAUAUUUUUUCCUGUAAAUAUGGCGGUGAAGUUAGUUUUAGGUUGGAUAUAUUUUCCUGUAAAUACGGUGGUGAAGUUAGUUUCAGGUUGGAUAUAUUUUCCUGUAAAUACGGCGGUGAAGUUAGUUUCAGGUUGGAUAUAUUUUCCUGUAAAUACGGCGGUGAAGUUAGUUUCAGGUUGGAUAUAUUUUCCUGUAAAUACGGCGGUGAAGUUAGUUUUAGGUUGGAUAUAUUUUCCUGUAAAUACGGCGGUGAAGUUAGUUUCAGGUUGGAUAUAUUUUCCUGUAAAUACAGUGGUGAAGUCAGUUUCAGGUCUGAUAUAUUUUCCUGUAAAUACGGCGGUGAAGUUAGUUUCAGGUUGGAUAUCUGACGGACAUUCUCUGAGGAUCUACCGGUGUCUUCUCACUCUCCAUAACUGGGAAUAACAACAGCAGCGCGGUUAAAUCUACUCGACACCCUCACUGUCAACGUCGGUGUUGAAUAAGGGACCGUCAAUAAAUUACCAGUUGAUGUUCUCAGAAAAGGCUGUUUUCCUUCAAUAGCUUCACUGUCAUGUGACCAAAAGACCUAAAAUUGAUUUCUAAUAAUCGUACUAAGGUCGAUCAAUAAGACAAACCGAUUUAUUUUCUAAUUUGUCCUCAAAAAAUUUCUGUGUUAAAUUUAAAGGGAAAUUUUGAACAUUUUCUUGAAUAGCUUCCAUUACAUGAGACCAAUUGACCUAAAAUUGAUAUUACUCAUGACGACCAAUAAGACAAACAUUAUUGAUCAGUUUUCAUUGAUCCCCUAAAGUUCUUUGUGCUCCUUUCUAGGAGAACGUGUAAAAAGAGUUAUUGUCCAGCCCUGGCUCAACACCAAAGGCUCUCACAGGCGUUCACUCUUCUACACACUCUUCUAUUACUGGUCCAUCUAUCAGCAUGGACUAUGACUCACCUGUGCUCUGUUAUUACAUGGUAAUAAGGGUUACAUUAACUCAGGAGACACCACCUGACAGAGCAGAGAGGGGAGCUCCAAGCCAAGUUUUCACCGGUCGAAGGAAGAUAAGGAGAUGAGCUUUUCCUCUGCCAGCGGGUCCAGCGAUAACGGAGCUCGUCUGGUUUGGCGUGGCUCGAUAAGGCUGGCUGUGCCAUCCUGUGGGGCUUAUCAAGUCCACCAGCAAGCCUCAACAGUCGGUCCCAGAGCCAGAAAAUGUUUAUGACUGAAGGCGUCAGUUGGUCUUUCUUGACUGUCGGUUGUGUAAGAGGAAAGAAAAUGCUGAUUUGGAUGAGUCUGUUUCUGCAGCGGCCUGAUGUGAGGAGUUAGGCCUACGACUGACCUAAAGGGACAAUCCCCCUAAUUUCUUUAAUGGAAAGACAUGAAGGAGGGAAAAAAGAGGAAGAAACUAAAACAAGAGCAUCGGGGCAGCUGGUGUGAACAGUGAGGGUAGGAAGAGUCUCCGGGAUCAGAAACAUCAGUCCGUCCAGACUGAGUCUGAGCCGUUAUCUCACCACAUCAGUGAGAUCACAGACAGGAUGCUGAAAACAAAAUCAAACCUUCUCCAUCUGAAGCUGCUCUCAUCCUCCUGGUCCUGUUUACUCAGAGUCUUUUCACAUUUACAGCCUCUUCACCUUCAACCAUCACAGAUACUCCACUUUAUUCCUCCUGACUCCAUCAACCGGAGUCCAACACCUCCAUGUCAGAGACUGAACAUGUGGCCCCCCAUCAUCGGAGGAGCAGGAUGGACCCUCAGAGAAACAGGGGCCUGUUGAUCCUGAAGUAGGACUGUGGAGAGAGAGCUCCUGCCUGAAGACGAGAGGCCCCAACAGACCAGCAACAGCCACCAAAAACAGGUCCACCUUCACCUGGGGGGGCGGGCUGAAGAGGACAGGAGACUAUGGCGUUGGUCCCCCCCCUGGAGUGCCUUUAACCCACAGACUGGUGGACAGAAGAACCUUGUCCUGUUUGAGGGACUGAUGCCUUCUCACUAGCUGCGUUUCUAUUACAUUUUUUCGCAAAAUAAAAGCGAUGUUUAUCAAAUUUCGACAAAGUACAAUUGCGAUUUGCGGGUGUUUCCAUUGAAUGGUGUUCAGUGCAUAAGCGAGCCGUCUGCCUCUCGCGAGCCGUGUUUAAAUGGCCGUUGCCUAGCAACGAGGUAAACUUCCUGCCCGUGCGACCUCGUAUUCCUUAAGCCUUUUUGCACACCAACAUGGACGAGACACAAAACAUUUUUCGUUUUGGAGCAGCUGUUUCUGUGACCAUUACUGCUGUUGCUGCUGCUGUCAUCAGAAGAUGAAGGCAGCGGGUGAUAAUUCAAAGGCAAAGCUCGUAUGUAUGGGAGCGAACAUGGAUGAGGGAUUUCUGGGAGAGAAUCGUUAAUGAGGAAUUCACAGACGAAUUGUGGAUUCAAAACUUCAGAAAAAUACAAAUACAAUUAAAAACUUCAGAAAUAAGUCCGUCUCCUCCCCCGUCCACAUAUACCGUGCCAUCUACGCUUGAAAUGAACUGGUCACUUGACCCGCUACGUCACGUCCGGUGACAGAGAAUUGCGAGAAAAGUGUUUCCAUUACACUUUUGCGAUAAACUUCUAUAUCGACACUUCUAAAAAACCACCACAUGAGAGCGUAAAAACUUUUUAGCGAUAUUUGGGAGGUUUUUCGAAAUGUAGGUGUUUCCAUUACCAGUUUUCUAUUGCGAUAUUUAGGUUUUGCGCAAAUCUAUGGGUAAUGGAAACGCAGCUACUGAGGAGGGGUCUCCUUCCUGUCAGCCUGUUGGACAGCUUCUCUCACUCAACGCCUCUCCAGCAAACGAGCAUCAACAAACAUUUAGACAGGAGGUCCCGAACCAGCAGAGGAGGAAAUGGUUGAAGUGGGAGUGGGCUUAUCCCAGUAACAACGCAACACACAACCCUGCGUUUCACUCCACAGCAACUGUGGAAGAAACGAAGUGGAGAGUGAGAGAGGACGACGAAGAGCGAGACAGGAAGUAUCGAGGUCUGAACUUCAGCAGAACUGAGACUGACUCCAAACACGGAGACCGAGUCCCAGACUUCACAGCAUCGAGUCCGAGGAGGACAACAGCAGCUGUGUCAGCAAGACUGUUCACAUGUUAACGUGUUCACAUAUGAACAUGGUUUAACAGUGACACGUUUACAUGUUCACACAUACACAGGUUGACAUGUUUACAGGUUGACUUUGUCGUGUCCUCAUCGUUGCUGAACAAACUGAGGAGGUAAAGUUCUGGUGGAGCGUCUGUAACCAUCAUGUGUGUAAGUUCACGUGUUCCUCCUCCCUCACCGUACUUCAGCGUGUUUCUGCUCUCGGUCAUAAAUUCACCGCUCGGGUCUUUACGUCUGCUUACUGCCGCAGUAAUCUGACCCAGACCUUCGCCCAGGCGGACAUCUACGCAGAAGAGAGGGCGUGCAUUCCUCUUCCUGGUCCGGGUGGAUCUGUUAGCCAUUAGCUGGUGUCAGACAGAUGCAGGGACCAAAUCCAUGAGCUUCACUCAGGAAUGGCGUGGUCAUGAAAGGGUCAAUCACUCACGGGUCAUUAUUUCAGCAGCAGGCCGUACAUUCCUGCUCUGACAGAUACGUGAUGGGUUCAGAGGUCAAGUUCAGGGCGGGGUUACUUCAUCGAAUCCUGUCGUUUAUCAAACAGACCUCAGAUCGGAGUUUUGAAAUCUUUGAUAAAGUUUCAACGACUCUUUCCUCCGACUGAAAAUUCGACAGGAGAUUCAUGAAACCAAGCACCCCGUGACCUCCACGGUGACCUCCGCGGUGACCUCCACGGUGACCUCUACGGUGACCUCUACGGUGACCUCCACGGUGACCUCCACGGUGACCUCCACGGUGACCUCCACAGUGACCUUCCAGACUGAGGCUCUCACAGACACAGACCCUGUGCUGGAUCUUCUUCCAAGUGUCUGUUCUGCUCAGACCCUGGUAUCUGGUACCGUGGGCCGGGAACCGCAGCCUGAUGGCGUUGGCGCCUCAGGUGUUGAACUGUCAGGAGUGAGCAAACACACAUGCUCUCCUAUAUACAGUCGGCGGGUUCUAUACGGCCCGGCCGUGUCAGCCUUACACCAUUAACAUUCCUCCCAUAAUAACUACCACAUGGACUGGAUCAGCACCAGAGGCCCGUCCUCCUGAUCCCACAGAACCCCUUCAUGUCUCUGAAUCCAUGUAUUUGAGGUGGAUUUUCUCAGACCUGUCGGGACUCUCUCCCCAGUGUUGAAAAGUUUAAUUUGGGCUCUAAAUUUAACGAGACUCGUUAAAAUCCGAGUGUACACAGCGCCCCUCCCAGCGGAGCGCUCUGCCUCGCCGCUCGCGUGAGAAGUCGUUUUCUAUCUUCCUGCCUUUUCUUCUUCACCGACGGGCAGGAGAGAGAGAGAGAGAGAGAGAGAGAGAGAGAGAGAGAGAGAGAGAGAGAGAGAGAGAGAGAGGAGAGAGAGAGAGAGAGAGAGAGAGAGAGAGAGAGAGAGAGAGAGAGAGAGAGAGAGAGAGAGAGAGAGAGAGAGAGAGAGAGAGAGAGAGAGAGAGAGAGAGAGAGAGAGAGAGAGAGACUCCUCUUGUUGUUGAGUCCAGGAUGUUUUUUUACUCUUUUUUUUGAACCCCCCCGAUUCUCUGUUUUCCUUUUUUCUACAGGAAGUCCUGGGCUGUGGUCCAAUCACUGAGUUUUCAUGAAGACGUGAUGAUAGCCGGGUGAUUGCUGCAUGAGGAAAGGGUGAAGUAAAGGCCUUCAUUUAAAGAAGCUGCGCUCGAUAAAGCUUCAAGUAGAACUUCAGUGCAGAGAGAGAGAGACCAGGAUGAGGUCCAGAGGAGGAAGCCGAGGAACCGGCUAUCAGAGGCUUUCAUCCAACAAAAACAGACGUGCUGGUCCUCUCUGCAUCAGGCAGGGUGGACCCACGUCUGUUCAGAUCAUCAAUCCAAGAAGCUCUCUGCGUCUCUCUGGAUGAGCUGGGCUCUGCUGACAAACAGCUGAUCUUUAUUUACCACACAAACACCUCGGCUCUCUCAGCGUUCUGUGCUCUUAGGCCUGUGGCGGCCUGGGACCAGACGGGGUUAUCUUUGUAAUUGAGGAAACUAGAAAGUAAAGCAAAGAUUUAUCUGUGAAGAAGUCCCAUGAUACCAAAACCCGCCCAAAUGUGCAGCAGCAGCCAGUGAAGCUAAGGUGCAGAAUGUGAGGACUUCAGGUCACAGUGAAGAGCACAGAGUCGGCCACAGUUAAAGGCUGUUUUACUGCCAAAGUUCCUGUCUGAAACCUCUGGGGGAUCAAAGUGGUCCCCCUCUUUAAGAUCAGGAUCAGGGGGUCUUCAGAGGGUCUCAUACUGGACGUCUUUCUGCUGUCGUAAAAAAAAGCACAUCUCUGCACUUUCUCUGUAUCAUGUUUUGCACAUGUGGUUUUGCUCCUGCAGCAUUCGUGCCGUACUCAGACGUCUCUGUCUGCGCUCGUUUUGACUGAUGUCUAACGCACAUUCUUCUGUAACCAUAUCGGCACGGCACUAAAUCCUCAACACACCUGUUAGAGCCGGGAGAGUCGAACCCCAGCCCCGGCCAGCUGCAGCAGAGUCAUCAGGACUGAGACGUACUUCUCUUCUCUACACUGAUCUGUGAGGGCCUCAGAGUUCGGGUUCGGCUCCUGAUUUACCUGGAAGUGUCAGAAUUUCCUGCUGAGUGUCUUUUUCGGCCUCUGAUACGAACACGUCAGGAAGCUUUGGACUUAUUUUGCACUUCUAUGUAACAUAAGAGACGCCGCUUUGUAAACACGA
rnacentral:lncRNA from 1 species